rnacentral:lncRNA from 1 species
AUGUCUAAGUCAGAGUCUCCUAAAGAGCCUGGACAGCUAUGGAAGCUCUACAUGAGAUAGUUUGAGGAGCCAUUUUGAGCAAGGCAGAAUGCUCACAGACUAGUAUAAGAGUCAAACACCAAGAAUUCCAGGGGCUUUGGGUUUGUCACAUAUGCCACUGUGGAAGAGGCAGAAGCAGCCAUGAAUGCAAGGACAGAAAAAGUGGAUAGAAGAGUUGUGCAGCCAAAGACAGCUGCUGCCCUAAGACAAAAUUCUCAAAGACCAGGUGUCCACUUAACUGUGAAAAAAGAUCUUUGUGGUGGACAUUGAAGAACAUCACCUAAGAGAUUACUUUGAAUAGGAUGGGAAAAAUUGAAGUGACUGAAAUCAUAACUGACCGAGGUAGUGGCAAGAAAAGGGGUUUGCAUUUGUUCAUUUUGAUGAUCAUAACUCCUUGGAUAAGACUGUUAUUCAGAAAUACCAUCCUGUGAAUUGUCACAACUGUGAAGCAAGGAAAGCCCUGUGGAACCAAGAGGUGGCUGGUGUUUUACCCAGCCAAAGAGGUCGAAGUGGCUCUUAAAACUUUUCUUGAAGUGGCCGUGGAGGUGGUUUUGGUGGGUAUGACAACUUUGGUUAUCGAGAAAACCUCAGUGGUCCAGGUGGCUUUGGUGGCAGCCAUGGUGAUGGUGGAUAUAGUGACAGCAGGCUUGGCUAUAACAGAUUUAGUAAUGGUGAGAGUAGUUUUGGAGGUGGUGGAUGCUAUAAUGACUUUGGCAAUUAUAAUAACCGAUCUUCAAAUUUUGGACACAUGAAGGGCAGAAACUUCAGAGGCAGAAGCUCUGACCUCUAUGAUGGUGGAGGGUAAUAUUAUACUUUGCCAAACUAUGAGCCUAGGGUGGCUAUGAUGGUUUCAGUAGCAUCAGUAGCUAUGGCAGUGACAGAAGAUUU